UGGGGAAUAUUGGACAAUGGGCGCAAGCCUGAUCCAGCAAUGCCGCGUGUGUGAAGAAGGCCUUCGGGUUGUAAAGCACUUUUAUCAGGAGCGAAACGCUGUCGGCUAAUACCCGGCGGAACUGACGGUACCUGAGGAAUAAGCACCGGCUAACUUCGUGCCAGCAGCCGCGGUAAUACGAAGGGUGCAAGCGUUAAUCGGAAUUACUGGGCGUAAAGCGUGCGUAGGCGGUUUCUUAAGUCUGCUGUGAGAUCCCCGGGCUCAACCUGGGAAUGGCAGUGGAUACUGGGAGGCUAGAGUGUGUCAGAGGGUGGUGGAAUUCCCGGUGUAGCGGUGAAAUGCGUAGAGAUCGGGAGGAACAUCAGUGGCGAAGGCGGCCACCUGGGACAACACUGACGCUGAGGCACGAAAGCGUGGGGAGCAAACAGGAUUAGAUACCCUGGUAGUCCACGCCCUAAACGAUGCGAACUGGAUGUUGGUCUCAACUCGGAGAUCAGUGUCGAAGCUAACGCGUUAAGUUCGCCGCCUGGGGAGUACGGUCGCAAGACUGAAACUUAAAUGAAUUGACGGGGUCAUAGCUGUUUCCUG
rnacentral:rRNA from 1 species